rnacentral:rRNA from 1 species
ACUCAAAGGAAUUGACGGGGGCCCGCACAAGCGGUGGAGCAUGUGGUUUAAUUCGUCACUAACCGAAGAACCUUACCCAGGCUUGACAUCGCGUGUAAGACUGUGAAAGCAGUUCCUCCCUUCGGGGACACAAAGACAGGUGUUGCAUGGCUGUCGUCAGCUCGUGUCGUGAGAUGUUGGGUUAAGUCCCGCAACGAGCGCAACCCUCACCGGAUGUUGCCAGCGUCAAGUCGGGCACUCUUCCGGAACUGCCCGUGCAAGCGGGAGGAAGGUGGGGAUGACGUCAAGUCGGCAUGGCCCUUACGCCUGGGGCUACACACAUGCUACAAUGGGCGUUAACAAUGGGAUGCGAUACCGCGAGGUGGAGCCAAUCCAGAAAUACGUCCUCAGUUCGGAUUGCAGGCUGCAACUCGCCUGCAUGAAGCUGGAAUCGCUAGUAACCGCAGGUCAGCUAAACUGCGGUGAAUACGUUCCCGGGCCUUGUACACACCGCCCGU